AGUGGCUCUUUGGCACAAUUCUUUGUUAUAAAACACUCUUAAAUCAAUAUACCGAUUAGUCGACAUAUGCCUUAAACCCAUCAUCUCUAUGCAGAGUUGUAGGUCCAGCAGAGCAUGAAAACAUAACUAUUGUAUGGACAUUUGGGUAAAUCAUGUAAAUUCAGAGAUGAAAAUCAGAUAUUUCUUA